rnacentral:rRNA from 1 species
UACGUAGGCACCAAGCGUUGUCCGGAUUUAUUGGGCGUAAAGAGCUCGUAGGCGGUUCGGUAAGUCGGGUGUGAAAACUCUGGGCUCAACCCAGAGAGGCCACCCGAUACUGCCGUGACUGGAGUGCGGUAGGGGAGUGGGGAAUUCCUGGUGUAGCGGUGGAAUGCGCAGAUAUCAGGAGGAACACCAAUGGCGAAGGCAGAUCUCUGGGCCGUAACUGACGCUGAGGAGCGAAAGCAUGGGGAGCGAACAGG